GCGGCCCUGUAGUAGAAUCAAUUCACAGAGUGGGGAGCUUGAAACCGUCGACUCGCGCUUGUGAGCUGAGUUUGGGAGAAAGAAGUGAUCAAGAUACCGGACAGGCCACAGUUCCCCAAGCUUUGGCAUCGGCUUUAUGCCCUGAAGUCCUCUCAACUCACCAAACGAGGUUCUGUAGCGCCCCCUGUGUGCCGACAAUGACCAUGGUGCUCACAUGCUGAUGAAGAAGUGGAUGCUGAGGAACAAUCCAGCGAACUUAGGACUCCACCAGAUUUACCAUAGAAGACAACAGUCAGAACAGAGGUUGCUGUACGGCGUGGAACAUCAUGAAUAAGGGAGAGAAAGAGAGAGCAAGCACCGGUGCGUCAUGUCUUUGGCCUGUGAGUCAUCAACUAAAGCUCGACAAUGAGCAACACACCCCCCCCUCCAUGCUCCCACCCCUUAGCUACCAAUCACAUAUCACAGCUUGACGCAAACCACAAGGAGCCUUCAGGCCUUUCUUACACAUACUUCACCCCCUUGUGACUUAGAGUGUGUGUAUCUCCACACGUGAGAGAGCAGGAAAGACAACCGGCUCAUUAAACACAUUAUAGUGCAUCUCCUCUGCUAUAGACAGAGUGACGCUUACACAGCGGACGCUCUUACGGUUUCUGAAAGGGGAACUUUGCUGAUUUUUUUAGAAAUUUCAGUAGAAUUAAAAGGUUGAGAUGCAAACAAAGUCAUUCAGAACGGUUUGGUGUGUUCUAGAGAAACUUACCGAGUCAGUGCUGGUGAUAGGAAUCAGGCACGUGAAGAGAUUAAUGCCCCUAAAGGCUCCCCCAGAGAACAAUAUUACAUGAAAUUGUUACGAAUGAGCUGCCUGAUCCCUUAUUUCAGCGAUAAAUGAUGCAGAAAGUUUGAAAAGUCGAUGGAAUCCCCAUUUAACCAUUAGGAGCCACAGCUAUAAUAAAAGUUGUAGCUUGAUAUGAA